UUGCCUAAAUCUCCAUCCACACAGUAUGAAGAGAAUGGGAGAGAGGAGGAGGGCUUCCACAACGCUUUGCUGGAGCUGAAAGACCUGCGGUCUCAGCUUCACCAUGCGGCAGAACAUUGUGAGCGUGUAUUUUCCUCAGCCCAGCAGAAGAAGAUGAUUUUGGAGGGGACAAAGAGCUACAUAUGUGAAGCAGUUGUGGCAAUAGUCAACCAUUUAGG